rnacentral:rRNA from 1 species
CUUGCCCGCUGGCGGCAGGCCUAACACAUGCAAGUCGAGCGGAGCGGCGGACGGGUGAGUAAUACCAAGGAAUCUGCCUGGUAGUGGGGGAUAACGUUCGGAAACGGAAGCUAAUAACGCAUACUAUCAGAUGAGCCUUGGUCGGAUUAGCUAGUUGGUGAGGUAAUGGCUUACCAAGGCUACGAUCCGUAACUGGUCUGAGAGGCUGAUCGGUCAAACUGGACCUGAGACACGGUCCAGACUCCUACGGGAGACAUCAGUGGGGACUAUUUGGCAAUGGGCGAAAUCCUGAUCCAGCCAUGCCGCGUGAGUGAAGAAGGUCUUCGGAUUGUAAAACACUUUAAUUUGGGUAGCGGUACCGACAUAAUAAGCCCCGGCUAACUCCGUGCCAGCAGCCGCGGUAAUAC